rnacentral:lncRNA from 1 species
UUAACAAGACCCGAAGCUGAGGAAGAAGAUGCGAUGUUGUUGUUGUUGCUGCUGCUAUGGAACUUGUUGCGUUCUCUAUAUAAAGCAUCGAGCUGGUGAAAGUAAGGACAAGUCUUGGAAUCUUCGGGACGUUUCUUGUUGCUCUCUUUGACUUUCUUGAAGUAUUUGUUUAUGUUUUCCCAUUUCUCUUUGCACCUCUUUGAGUUCCUGUUGAAUCCUAACCUUCUCAUUCCCGCUGAUAUCUCUUCCCACAGUGGUCCUUUUGGCCCGUUCUCUUGAUAUUUCGAAUCAAGAUUCGUCCUCAGCUUUAUCAGAGCUUCUAUCUCCACCUUCGGCCACCGCGACGAGCUCGC